rnacentral:rRNA from 1 species
UACGAAGGGGGCUAGCGUUGCUCGGAAUGACUGGGCGUAAAGGGCGCGUAGGCGGUUUGUACAGUCAGGUGUGAAAUUCCCGGGCUCAACCUGGGGGCUGCACUUGAUACGUAGGAACUUGAGUGGGGAAGAGGGUCGCGGAAUUCCCGGUGUAGAGGUGAAAUUCGUAGAUAUCGGGAGGAACACCGGUGGCGAAGGCGGCGACCUGGGUAGAUACUGACGCUGAGGCGCGAAAGCGUGGGGAGCAAACAGG